UAGUAAGUAGUAUAGUGGUAGUACGCGGGGUUUUGGACCCCGAAGGAUGGGUUCGAUGCCCAUUUUUCUAU
rnacentral:tRNA from 1 species